rnacentral:rRNA from 1 species
CCUACGGGAGGCAGCAGUAAGGAAUAUUGGUCAAUGGAGGCAACUCUGAACCAGCCAUGCCGCGUGCAGGAUGACGGCCCUAUGGGUUGUAAACUGCUUUUAUACAAGAGAAAACCCUGGUACGUGUACCAGGUUGAUAGUAUUGUAAGAAUAAGCAUCGGCUAACUUCGUGCCAGCAGCCGCGGUAAGACGAAGGAUGCAAGCGUUAUCCGGAUUCAUUGGGUUUAAAGGGUGCGUAGGCGGACUGAUAAGUCAGUGGUGAAAUCUCUUUGCUUAACAAAGAAACUGCCAUUGAUACUGUCGGUCUAGAGUAUAGAUGACGUUGGCGGAAUAUGACAUGUAGUGGUGAAAUACUUAGAUAUGUCAUAGAACACCGAUUGCGAAGGCAGCUAACGAAACUAUAACUGACGCUGAGGCACGAAAGUGCGGGGAUCAAACAGGAUUAGAUACCCUGGUAGUCCGCACCGUAAACGAUGAUUACUCGUUGUUGGCGAUAUGACAGUCAGCGACCAAGCGAAAGCGAUAAGUAAUCCACCUUGGGGAGUACGCCGGCAACGGUUGAAACUUAAGGAAUUGACGGCGNGAGAGNGCGAGCGACGACGAGGAGGAGG